CUGGCCGUAAACGAUGGGUGCUAGGCGUAGGGUGGAUCGACCCCCUCUGUGCCGUAGCUAACGCGUUAAGCACCCCGCCUGGGGAGUACGGCCGCAAGGCUGAAACUCAAAGGAAUUGACGGGGGCCCGCACAAGCGGUGGAGCAUGUUGCUUAAUUCGAUGCAACGCGAAGAACCUUAUCCAAGUCUUGACAUCCCCGGAAUCCUGUAGAAAUACGGGAGUGCCUUCGGGAACCGGGUGACAGGUGG
rnacentral:rRNA from 1 species